GCAAGUCGAGCGGUAACAGAAAGUAGCUUGCUACUUUGCUGACGAGCGGCGGACGGGUGAGUAAUGCUUGGGAACAUGCCUUGAGGUGGGGGACAACAGUUGGAAACGACUGCUAAUACCGCAUAAUGUCUACGGACCAAAGGGGGCUUCGGCUCUCGCCUUUAGAUUGGCCCAAGUGGGAUUAGCUAGUUGGUGAGGUAAUGGCUCACCAAGGCAACGAUCCCUAGCUGGUUUGAGAGGAUGAUCAGCCACACUGGAACUGAGACACGGUCCAGACUCCUACGGGAGGCAGCAGUGGGGAAUAUUGCACAAUGGGCGAAAGCCUGAUGCAGCCAUGCCGCGUGUGUGAAGAAGGCCUUCGGGUUGUAAAGCACUUUCAGUCAGGAGGAAAGGGUGUGAGUUAAUACCUCACAUCUGUGACGUUACUGACAGAAGAAGCACCGGCUAACUCCGUGCCAGCAGCCGCGGUAAUACGGAGGGUGCGAGCGUUAAUCGGAAUUACUGGGCGUAAAGCGUACGCAGGCGGUUUGUUAAGCGAGAUGUGAAAGCCCCGGGCUCAACCUGGGAACUGCAUUUCGAACUGGCAAACUAGAGUGUGAUAGAGGGUGGUAGAAUUUCAGGUGUAGCGGUGAAAUGCGUAGAGAUCUGAAGGAAUACCGAUGGCGAAGGCAGCCACCUGGGUCAACACUGACGCUCAUGUACGAAAGCGUGGGGAGCAAACGGGAUUAGAUACCCCGGUAGUCCACGCCGUAAACGAUGUCUACUAGAAGCUCGGAACCUCGGUUCUGUUUUUCAAAGCUAACGCAUUAAGUAGACCGCCUGGGGAGUACGGCCGCAAGGGUUAAAACUCAAUGAAUUGACGGGGGCCCGCACAAGCGGUGGAGCAUGUGGUUAAUUCGAUGCAACGCGAGAACCUUACCUACACUUGACAUACAGAGAACUUACUAGAGAUGGAUUGUUGCUCGGGACUCUGAUACAGUGCUGCAUGCCUGUCGUCAGCUCGUGUGGAGAUGUCUUUAGGUCGCAACGAGCGCAACCCUAUCCUUAGUUGCUAAGCAGUAUGCUGAAACUCUAGGAACUGCCGGUUAUAAGCUUGCAGAAGGUUGGCUAACGCACACACGC
rnacentral:rRNA from 1 species